rnacentral:rRNA from 1 species
AUUGAACGCUGGCGGCAGGCCUAACACAUGCAAGUCGAGCGGAUGAAGGGAGCUUGCUCCUGGAUUCAGCGGCGGACGGGUGAGUAAUGCCUAGGAAUCUGCCUGGUAGGGGGGGAUAACGUCCGGAAACGGGCGCUAAUACCGCAUACGUCCUGAGGGAGAAAGUGGGGGAUCUUCGGACCUCACGCUAUCAGAUAAGCCUAGGUCGGAUUAGCUAGUUGGUGGGGUAAAGGCCUACCAAGGCGACGAUCCGUAACUGGUCUGAGAGGAUGAUCAGUCACACUGGAACUGAGACACGGUCCAGACUCCUACGGGAGGCAGCAGUGGGGAAUAUUGGACAAUGGGCGAAAGCCUGAUCCAGCCAUGCCGCGUGUGUGAAGAAGGUCUUCGGAUUGUAAAGCACUUUAAGUUGGGAGGAAGGGCAGUAAGUUAAUACCUUGCUGUUUUGACGUUACCAACAGAAUAAGCACCGGCUAACUUCGUG